UAAAUUUGCAGAUCCAGUGCCAAAUACUCUACGUAGGCAGUUUAACGAGGACUUCCUGUUACCGACUAGCUCCAAUGAAAAUGAUCUUCCUUUAAUCUAAAGAAUAGGCGUCUAACAGGCAGAACCAGAUUCUCCAGGUGUGAAGUAAGCAAUCUAUUUUCACUUGCUAUUAACAGCAAACGUACAACUUUAUCUCUUAUUUGACUUCAUUAUUUGGCUUUCAAAUUAACAACAUGAAAACUAUACAGAAAUUAGUCUGUGCCCUAUAAGACAGAGAUUUAGAUAAUUUGUUCAAAACAUGAGAUGAUAUUCAGAUAUUCUCUCAAAGGCAGGACUCCAACACCGCAGGUGGAAAACCAACAAAAGGAAGAAAACAGAAAGGUGGGGGAGAUAAGGAGUAGCCAGGAAAAAGAAAAUAGUGAUAAAGGAAGAGCCAAAAAGUCUUAGGUAUGCCUUUAUCAGCACCAUGAAAACAGAAUGAGACACUGGCCAAGGCCUUAUUUGCCAUCACAACAUGCUGUCAGGCUUGUGUGUAGGAGCAAGUAGAGAAGAACUAAAGAUUGUCACAACCUGCUACUGUGGUCAUCCACUCUACUUCCCACAAAUAACAAUGAAUUCAGGCUCUGUCAAUUUGUAAUUUUGUGAUUAUAGAAAAGUUUCUUAAUCUUUAGGUUUAUUUCCUUCUAUUAAAUGAAGCUUUUCAGAGGUCUUGUUUUCUGCUUGCUUGUUAUUGGGGGUAGGAGGAGAAAGUUAUCCAAGCAUUAAAAUGACUUCUAAGGCACUGUGCGUUACCUCAACUAGUUUAGGCUCAGAUAAGGCGCGGGCAGAAGAAAUUAGAUGCUGUAAAUAUUUGGCAUAUGAGUGGUCCAGAUGUCUGUGGGCACUAAGGAGGAAGCUGUGUGCAACAAAGAGAACUGCCACCUGACUCUAAUACAGGUAUCCCCUCCUGCUACCCUUCUACAGCCCCCAUCCCCUAGCACUGAGCUUAGCACAGUUCUGCUGAACAUCUUUUCUACUUAUUAUACAGCAGAUCUGUCAGUGCCAGACCUAUUAUAUGCCAGGCAUUAUUUCUAGUUGCAGAGGUUAUGUUAGUUUAAAGAAAGAAUUUCUUAUCUGCAUGGAACUAUGAAAGGAACUUGAAGGACUUUAAGCUAAGAAGCAGUAAAAUUAUCAAAAUUGUAUUUUUAAAAGUCUCAUAUUCUUUACAUAUUCUUGUAUUGUUUCACUGGUCAUAACAAGCAUGUACCAGUUUUGUAAUCUGAAAAAUAUCAAAUAAAGAAAAGAACUGCUGGCAGUGUAGAGGAGAGCUUGGGGGGCAGGCAAGACUGGCAGUUAGAGACUGGUUAAGGGACUGUUCCUAUCAGCAACACAGGUGAUUAGAGAAGAGGAAUUGAAGGGAGGUAACACUAAAGGGAAAUGGAGUAGUGAAGAGAUUCAAACGAUAGUAAGACAGUAACAUCAAUAAGAGAAAUUAAUUGCAAGUCAGAGAGAAAAAGGUAAACAGGAGAACUUUCAAAUAUGGGGCUUGGUCAGACAUUCAAGAGGUGUUUAUAAACAUAUCAAAA
rnacentral:lncRNA from 1 species